rnacentral:rRNA from 1 species
CCUACGGGAGGCAGCAGUGAGGAAUAUUGGUCAAUGGGCGGGAGCCUGAUCCAGCCAAGUCGCGUGAAUGAAGAAGGUACUGAGUAUUGUAAACUUCUUUUGUCGGGGAACAAAGGCGGAGACGCGUCUCCGGAUGAGUGUACCCGAAGAAAAAGCAUCGGCAAACCCCGUGCCAGCAGCCGCGGUAAUACGGGGGAUGCGAGCGUUAUCCGGAUUUAUUGGGUUAAAGGGGUGGGCAGGGGGGAGAUCAAGUCAGCGGUAAAAUGUCGGGGCUAAACCCCGGCCGGGCGGUGAAACUGGUUUUCUAGAGUUUGGGAGAGGUAUGCGGAAUUCGUGGUGUAGCGGUGAAAUGCGUAGAUAUCACGAAGAACUCCGAUGGCGAAGGCAGCAUACCGGCUCCAUACUGACGCUGAGGCACGAAAGCGUGGGGAUCGAACAGGAUUAGAUACCCCUGUAGUC